rnacentral:sRNA from 1 species
AUAAUUAAUUUGUCGGUUAAGACUGUAUGUAUUUGAAACAAAAAUUAUUAGUUUGUAUGCGCAGCAAGCUAUUCGUAUUAGCGAAAUUUUUUUAUGUACAUGUACUUUCAUUUUCAAGUCGGAAAAUAUGAGAGACAGAGAGACAGUUAUGAAGUGCCAGUCGUCUACAAACGGUCACCUACACCUGUACACUAGUUGCACCUUUGAAAUGAAUACUACGUGUGGAUAUUGGUGUGUCAAUGGAUAUAUAAAGUCGGACCCACCAUUCGUAGUCUGCAGCAGCAAUGGAACUUGGAAUGAAGAUCUUAACCAACUGUGCAAAGAUGACGACAAAAUCAAGAUAAUGAUUCCAAUAUCUUUCAUGGGAGUAAUAAUGGUUCUCCUGUUCCCAUAACAAUCAGUUCUGUCCGCAUGCACAAAUGAUAUAAACGAGAGCAUCCAGAGAGCCAACUCGUAGAGAUCAGUCCAAGCGAUAGAGUAAGCAGGAAUGCUUACGCAAGCGUGAGUAAAAGCAGAAACGUCUGCCCAAGCGUGAGUGGAAGCGUUCUCUCCACCCCACAGUUAAACACAUACACCACACCGACCGAUAGCAGCGAAAAUGUUUAUUGGGAAAUCGGGGAGGUGUACAGCCAACCGAAAAAUAUUGAAAAACCACAACUAUAUCAUAAACAUUAUAAUGGCAUUGGAGAAUACAUUCAGAAAGGGUCGUCGGUUAGAUCUGAAAGAUAUUCAAAAUUUCCAGUAAAAAAUGUGGACGAAGGUGGCUACCUUGAGGCAUGCCAUGUAGGAGAUUGUAAUGAUUUUCUGCCAGUGCCUGAUUAUGAGCAUGAUGAGUGGCUAGAACCAAGCCCACAAAACGGAUCUCUGAAUGCUGUGAGAAAAACUAAUUAUGAAAAUAUGAAAACAUAGAGAUGAUCCCGUUCUAAACAUCCAUGAGUGAAAAUCAUUUUGCAUAGUUUUAGGCGAGAAAUAUGUCUUUAUAAAAUGAAAAUGGAUUUGAACUAUUUUAUUGUUUAUAUAAUAUACAAAGGGUUCGAACACAAGUUCUUACGACUACUACAGAGAUAUAUGUGUAUGUUACAAAAGUACAUGUAUUUAUUUAAAUAAAAAGUCAAAAUACAGUU